AGGACUGGUUUGAUGAGGAAACCACUGCCCUUCUCACUGACUACUGAGUGCCACAAGUUGCUCCCUGCUGGAAACACACCCUAUAGACUUUCCUGCUACAAUGGAAGAAGCAAGAACUCUACUACACAGAUUUCUUUCAUCAAGAACUCCACGGCAAGUCAAGUGAAACAGUGAGAGUGGAGAAAGAAACAAAGAAAUCUGUAAUUGGCUGUGAUCAAUAAAUUGUAAAACCAACUGCACUUGGACCAGCUGGGAUCAUUUUCUUGAUUUCCUUUUUAAAUAUAUUGUUUUUGAUGUAAAUAAAUACAACUGAUUUUCCUUUGUUGAUUUUAUAACUGUACUA